rnacentral:rRNA from 1 species
UACGUAGGGGGCAAGCGUUGUCCGGAAUCAUUGGGCGUAAAGAGCGCGUAGGCGGCCCAGUAAGUCCGCUCUGAAAGUCAGGGGCUCAACCCCUGGAUGCGGGUGGAUACUGCUGGGCUAGAGUCCGGAAGAGGUGAGUGGAAUUCCUGGUGUAGCGGUGAAAUGCGCAGAUAUCAGGAGGAACACCGGUGGUGUAGACGGCUUUCUGGACCGUAACUGACGCUGAGACACGAAAGCGUGGGUAGCAAACAGG